rnacentral:tRNA from 5 species
GCCACGGUAGCUCAGUUGGUAGAGCAGCGGACUGAAAAUCCGCGUGUCGUUGGUUCGAUUCCGACCCGUGGCACCA